AUAAGAACACCUGUAUGACAGUCCUUACUGACACAUUGCAGAGAGGGUCAACAAAUCUGUUUCACUCUUGAAAUCAUGGCUUACUGGUUUCUGUAUGGACUACUUUUCCUGUUAUCCUGUGAUGCUUCCUUGCAAAGAAAAAAGACACCUGUUCAGUCUCUUGCCAGAGGAUGGGGAGAUGAAAUCAGAUGGGUGCAGACAUAUGAAGAGGGACUGUCAAAAAUGGAGGAGAGGUAUCUGAGCAUUCAUAAUGAAGUGUGAUCAAAUGAAGCCUUAUUGCUGGCCUUC
ensembl:lncRNA